rnacentral:rRNA from 1 species
GACGAACGCUGGCGGCGUGCUUAACACAUGCAAGUCGAACGGAAAGGCCCUGCUUUUGUGGGGUGCUCGAGUGGCGAACGGGUGAUUAACACGUGAGUAACCUGCCCUUGACUUUGGGAUAACUUCAGGAAACUGGGGCUAAUACCGGAUAGGAGCUCCUGCUGCAUGGUGGGGGUUGGAAAGUUUCGGCGGUUGGGGAUGGACUCGCGGCUUAUCAGCUUGUUGGUGGGGUAGUGGCUUACCAAGGCUUUGACGGGUAGCCGGCCUGAGAGGGUGACCGGCCACACUGGGACUGAGAUACGGCCCAGACUCCUACGGGAGGCAGCAGUGGGGAAUAUUGCACAAUGGGCGGAAGCCUGAUGUAGCAACGCCGCGUGCGGGAUGACGGCCUUCGGGUUGUAAACCGCUUUCGCCUGUGACGAAGCGUGAGUGACGGUAAUGGGUAAAGAAGCACCGGCUAACUACGUG